ACACAAAACAAAACAACAAGAAAGAGGAGGCGUCUCAAAGCUCAGAGCUAGCCCUCAUCAUAUCUCUAUUACUGCUGCUACAAAUCCCUCAUUGCUUUUAGUCUAGAACAUAGAUCUCCUACAGCUUUAUAAACAAUCACCAUCUACAUGGUGAUAAUUCCUCAUGGUCUUCAAUACAGAACUACAGAUCAAAACGUCACUGACCUAUCCUUUCAUAUAUGAGUUAUGGAUCGAUAGAAGAAGUACACCCAAGCUGGGUCAGUUCCAGCGGAGAUCGACGAUUUGGCCUGGUACUCGAUCGUUUGAGGAUGAAGUAGCUGGGCUAGAAUCUUCUUGUCUUACCGGAGAACUUGACCUUCACUGACCCCAUCUCUCCGUUUGACCUGUACUGGCAGAGCGCCUGAGGGUAUUAGUUUGUGAUAAUAAUUCUGGUACUUUAUAUCGAUUAUCAAUUCAUACUGCAUUUCCUGUUGAUGGGUUUAAUUUAUUUUUCUCAAGAAUAGAUUGACGUGGAAAUGAUGACAAUUAAAGAAAAAAGAUGUGAGCACAAGGAUUCAAAAGAAUUUGUGAAAGCUGUUUGCAUUGUAGAAGAGACGUCUUCAACACAACAUGCAUCUAUCUUUCAUAGAUCCUUCAGUUCAAUCCUUGAGGAACAUAAGUUGUCACGAGGCAGAUGCUCCCUCUCCAAACGCUUACCUGGCUUCUUCAACAAGGCCAGUGAACUUCUAGAAAAAUAUUUUCUAUCCAGAUUUUUCACCAUAUCUCUAAUACCAUGUUGUACUCGAUCAUUAUUGAUAGGGAUAAUAGAAAUAUCUUCCAUCAUAUAAAAAGAUUUUCGUUUAUUUGUGUUAGAAUUUGAUUUGUAUGGGUUGAAUGGUGUGAUGGUGCAAGUGACGGCCAAGUACUCGAGCGAGAGGAGGAGCUUCUAACCUUGCCCUUCUUCCUUAGACGCGCGAGUACUCGUCAAAAUCUUCAGUUCUCUUUGUAACUGACGCAACUGAACGUAUGUUGGUCUUUAUCAAAUGUGAAUGUUCCAGUUUUGGUUUAGUUAGGAAAGUGAUUUUCAUGGAUUUUGUAUUGAAUAGUAUUAUAGUAUGAUAUGAUGUACAAUGUAACCGGGGUGAGAGAAUAAUAAAACUUGUUAUUUGGUUUCGAUUCUUUU